rnacentral:rRNA from 1 species
UACGUAGGGUGUAGGCGUUAAUCGGAAUUACUGGGCGUAAAGCGUGCGCAGGCGGCUUUGCAAGACAGAUGUGAAAUCCCCGGGCUCAACCUGGGAACUGCAUUUGUGACUGCAUGGCUGGAGUGCGGCAGAGGGGGAUGGAAUUCCGCGUGUAGCAGUGAAAUGCGUAGAUAUGCGGAGGAACACCGAUGGCGAAGGCAAUCCCCUGGGCCUGCACUGACGCUCAUGCACGAAAGCGUGGGGAGCAAACAGG